rfam:TPA: Bos taurus chromosome 24, whole genome shotgun sequence.
UCUCUGAUGGCUCAGAUGGUAAAGAACCUGCCUGCAAUGCAGGAGAUCUAGGUUCGAUCCCUGGGUCGGGAA